rnacentral:lncRNA from 1 species
UGAGCGCGGCGCAAAAAGUUCAGCUGGAUGAGUGACUAUGCGCUGAGUCGCCUGAGCGCGCACCAUGCGCUAAUCGCACAUGCACGUGAAGGCUAGCUUCCUAUGUGACUUUUAGCUCUAAGCAAGGCUAUCGCGCUGAGCAAUCUUCACACGAUGAGUGAGUUUGGCGUGCUGAGCGCGACUCUCCAAUUCUUCAACUCUAUUACAUGCCUUCUGUUGUGUCUCUACAAAAAGUAUACCACAAAAAAUACUAUAAAUUUACUAGUUUUAGCACCUACUAGAUAAAAAACUCAAAAAAAUAUUAAAUUCCUAAUGUUUAACACAAAAAGAAGUAAUAAAAGAGAGAAAAAUUAGAUAAUUGCUGUGUGAUUUAAUUACACAAUUUACGUAUACCUAACAAUUAUGAGUACAAAAGCCUAGAAGUUAUAUAAUCUAAACAUUGGAAAUGUAGAAUUUGAUGAAGAAAGCAUAUAAUUAAUAAUAGGAUAAAGAAGACACCUAUGAUUUCCUUUCAUAUUUUGUAGAAAAUGAUCAAGGCCAGGUAAGCUUUCAACUACUCCUCGUUCACCUACUCCUUCAAGGAGUUUAACAUGAGCCAAAAGGAAAGUACAAAGAUUUAUAUGUCGAUAAUAAGUCCACCAAGCUAAGAAUAUAUCCAAUUUCAUGAAUGAAGCAAGCAUAUAGGCAUAAGGAAUAAUUUAAUUAGAGAAUUCAUUGUCAACAAAGAGGUGAAGCUAGUUUAUAUGAAGACACAAGAUCAUUCACAAAGUCUCUCAAAUUUAAAGAUUUUAGAAGAUUAAGAGUAAGAGUUGAUUGGUGCUUAGUAUUUUCUUUUUGUAAAGUUUCUAAUUAAAGGGAGUGAUAGAAAUAAUAUUAGUAAAUAGAAAAUAAAGUUUUAGAAGUUUCAAAGAUUAAGGAUUAUACGCUAAUUUUAAACCAUUAGUAAGUAUUAUUAUGCCCAUUAGUAAGGGUUAUGAGUUACUUCAUUUACUAAUAGAAUCUUCCCACUAAAAUUAAACUAGCGUAAAAAUUAAUCAUGAAUGGCAUUUGGUGCACAUAAACAUGUUUUUUUUUUAUAUAUAAAACGUUGAAAUUGUACCUUUUUAAAUAAGUAAUCUUAACAUAAAUAUAAUAAUGCCAAUUGAAUCUGUUUUAUAAUUGACCAAAUAAUCUUAAUGAAUUGAAGAGAUGCUGCCAGCUAUAACGUAAUGACAGCUUAUAAAGAUCAAAUCAUAAGUGAAGAAAGAACCGAAUCGUUAAUAGUAUUUUAUAAAAAUAUUGGAACAUGAAUUUGGGAAUUAGUUAGGUCCAUGUAUGAAAUUAAAAUAGAGCUAGAGCUAGAGUUGUUAAUAGUAUUAAAUAGGAGGUGUGGCUAGCUAAGGGAAAUGAUAUUAAAGUAUUUAAUGAGGAAACAGAAAGCAAAGGCAGGAGAGGAGCGGUGGGCUGGCAAGAACACAUAUAUACAGCUUGGCAGAAUGCAGAUGGCUCCACAUAAUUUUGCAGUGGAAUGCAACAUAAGCUACUGUAAUACAUGAAUAAAUGAUAGAGAAGAUGGGGGGGCUGUAGCACCUAGUGGCCUAAACUUGUUAGAGUCUACGCAAUUGAAGAUUGGAAAGCGACCCAACAGGAAGAAAGCCCAACGGUUUUCUCAGAGGGUAGUGAGGGCCUUGUAAUGAGAGACUAGACUCCUAGUGUGGGGUUUGAUUUCUUUUUCUUUUUUAAUAAUAACUAAUUUGGUACUAGAAUUGAAUUGAAGGGAGGGUAGCUAUGAAGGAAGGAACUGUAAUUACAUUACAUAUGCUUCAAUCUACAGCUACCUAGCCAGCUGCAUGCUGCAGCUAUUAUUUGGCCUAUUGUACUCUUUCUGCCUUCCCCUACCAUACACACUGUGUCUGUACCCCAUAUAUAUAGUUAUAUAUACAUCUCAUAUGGAAUUAUUUGGGUAAACUCGCCACCACUGAAUAAAGUUCCUUUUCCAGCAAUCUGGUUGAUUUGUAUAAUUGCAUUGUGUCCCCAUUCCUUUACAUAUGGUCCCACUCCUAUUUCUGUGGUCUCCCUUUAUCCCUUGAUAGUAGCAGAUCCAGUUUUUAGAUCGAUCAGCAAGUCUGUGCUAGAUUCAUAACCCUCUCCAUGCCUUCUCUUUGUCCUAUCUACUAUAUUGCUCAUGCUAAAUACUUUUUUCACUGUUUUGGUAACCUAUCUUCUCUCUUUGUCUCUCUCUUGAAUAGUAAAUUUGCCUCCACCAAAUCUUUCUUGCAUAUCUACAUAUCAAUC